UACACUCCUGCGGGAGGCAGCAGUGGGGAAUUUUGGACAAUGGGCGAAAGCCUGAUCCAGCAAUGCCGCGUGCAGGAUGAAGGCCUUCGGGUUGUAAACUGCUUUUGUACGGAACGAAAAAGCUCCUUCUAAUACAGGGGGCCCAUGACGGUACCGUAAGAAUAAGCACCGGCUAACUACGUGCCAGCAGCCGCGGUAAUACGUAGGGUGCGAGCGUUAAUCGGAAUUACUGGGCGUAAAGCGUGCGCAGGCGGUUAUGUAAGACAGAUGUGAAAUCCCCGGGCUCAACCUGGGAACUGCAUUUGUGACUGCAUGGCUAGAGUACGGUAGAGGGGGAUGGAAUUCCGCGUGUAGCAGUGAAAUGCGUAGAUAUGCGGAGGAACACCGAUGGCGAAGGCAAUCCCCUGGACCUGUACUGACGCUCAUGCACGAAAGCGUGGGGAGCAAACAGGAUUAGAUACCCUAGUAGUCCCAUGA
rnacentral:rRNA from 1 species